UCUAGGAAGACAUCUCUGACUUGCAGUGAGAGUUUGAGAAGAACUUAACGUAGAAAAUGGUAGUUGAUUUUGACGUCAUGUGGAGGAGGCUCACUCUCAUUGAAAGGCGGCGUUAGAUAUCUGGAGGAUGACAGUACUUCUGUUUCCUUGGGGAAAUUAUGCACCAGGAUUCUGAGGAGGUCAGUGUUACCCCGUCCCCACCUGGCCGGCUGGCACUGCCCUGCUGGGUGAUCAGAACUGAUUUCGAAGAAUGACCUUCAGCACAGAUGAGCACCGCCUUGCCCCUGGAAGGCCGUGAAAGCACCGUCACUCUGCACUCGAAAGCUCUCCUUGUUUACAAGGUAUUUGGGCACAGAUGGAAGUAUCGCAUCACAAGCCAAUUUCUUCACCUCUUUUAAAAAUUUUAUCAGUGUUAAGCUUUAGACAGAACCUGGUUCAAAUAAACUGAUGACAAAAGGAGGGUCGCUUGGACUUUUGUACUCAUCAUGUGACUCAGGAGCAUCACGUUGAGGCUCAGCACCCUGGCUUUAGUCUUCCCUGGACGGCUGGUAGGAGGAAUUGGCCCUCAAGAGAGUUUGGUUCCUACCUCGGUACUGCAGUCAGCAGCUGGGAAUCCUUGAUGAAACCAUUUACUUGGCCAAAGCUGAGUUUUCUCAUCUGUAAAAUGAGACAGACACAACAUGUUUUUCAUGUCUUUUUAUGCUUCCCCAGCAAACUGCCCACAUUGCCUGGCAGCGAUUGUCUAAUAAAGUUAGAACCAGUGACAUUUCUUCUGAUGAAAUUAAUGACGGCUUGUUAGACUGAACCUGCACAUCUUCUGAAGUUUGAAGCACAAUUCUAGAAAGGAUAAUAGUUUCUAAUAUGUCAGCUCCGUCCUGCUGAGUGUUCCAUCAACACCCUUAACCCAGUUAUCUGCAAGGGCUUUGACCCCAGACGGGGAGUCUCAGAUGGAAGCCAGGACAUUGCUUCAGGACCGGCCAUGAAAAAUGCAUGUAAGAUAGAAAAAUGUGAAUUAUGUGUGAAACAAACAAAAGCACCAGGCAACAUGGAAUUUGUGUCAACAAAAGCUUGCUGCAAGCUGUUGCUUGCUUCUAAGGGGGAAGUAGACUCUGGCGCCCAGGGAACAGUAGCAGGGAAGGACUUUUGCACAAGACGUGCAGAAACAAAAGGGGUGAACUGUUCUGGCUGUAACAGCUUUCAAGUUCUUAAGCUCUCCUCUCUCUUGCAUUUGUUAUGCAGCUGGGGAAGUUACUGAUUACUGAGUCCGCUGGAGCCAUGAGAAUGGGAAUAACUGACAUUUAUAACAUUUUGACAUACUCAAGAGAAGAGAAAAAUAGUCCAAAGGGUGGGACCUCCAGUUGACUUUCUUGUUGACUAUAAAACAACUCCAUGACUGGAUUACUUGAGUGAAUAAGGGAAUGGCAAGGUUCUCAGGGAGAUUCAUGCACUGGAAUGUCUAGCUCAUGUUCCAAUUAAAAUAUUAAAU